GACGAACGCUGGCGGCGUGCUUAACACAUGCAAGUCGAACGGUAAGGCCCUGCUUUUGUGGGGUUCUCGAGUGGCGAACGGGUGAGUAUCACGUGAGUAACCUGCCCUUUACUUUGGGAUAACUUCAGUAAACUCGGGCUAUUACCGGAUAUGAGCUCCUUCUGCAUGGUUGUGGUUGGUGAGUUUCGGCGGUUGGGGAUGGACUCGCGGCUUAUCAGCUUGUUGGUGGGGUAGUGGCUUACCAAGGCUUUGACGGGUAGCCGGACUGAGAGGGUGACCGGCCACAUAGGGACUGAGAUACGGCCAAGACGCCUACGGGAGGCAGCAGUGAGGAAUAGUGCAAAAUGGGCGGAAGCCUGAUGCAGCAACGCCGCGUGCGGGAUGACGGCCUUCGGGUUGUAAACCGCUUUCGCCUGUGACGAAGAGUGAGUGACGGUAAUGGGUAAAGAAGCACCGGCUAACUACGUG
rnacentral:rRNA from 1 species